UACGAAGGGGGCUAGCGUUGUUCGGAAUACUGGGCGUAAAGCGUGCGCAGGCGGUUCGCUAAGACAGAUGUGAAAUCCCCGGGCUUAACCUGGGAACUGCAUUUGUGACUGGCGGGCUAGAGUAUGGCAGAGGGGGGGUAGAAUUCCACGUGUAGCAGUGAAAUGCGUAGAGAUGUGGAGGAAUACCGAUGGCGAAGGCAGCCCCCUGGGCCAAUACUGACGCUCAUGCACGAAAGCGUGGGGAGCAAACAGG
rnacentral:rRNA from 1 species